rnacentral:misc_RNA from 1 species
UGGUUCUUAUCAUUAUCCACCUAUUGAACAAAUAGUUGGGCAAUGUGGCAAGUUCUGUUUACUGGAAAGGCUUUUGUCAGAAUUGUUUGCUCGCAAGCACAAAGUUCUGAUAUUCUCUCAGUGGACUAGAGUACUGGACAUAAUGGAUUACUAUUUUAGUGAAAGGGGCUUUGAUGUUUGUAAAAUUGAUGGCCGUGUGAAAUUGGAUGAAA